AUCUGAGUCCCAUAACGCAUGUCAAGGCUCUGCCCGACUAAGUUCGUUUGGAUUCCAUCUCGGGACUUCGGGACAAGGUUGAUUUAGGGGUACUAUACUUAACACAAGUGCAAAAUAUAUUUUUAAUAGCCCAAAAGUUAUACCCAAAAUUUAUACCAGGAGUCCUUCUAGUUGAACCCUAAAGUUACACAGUGGGUCCAUUUCUUUUUCUCACCAUUUUAUUCUCUUUUUGUGAUUUACCCAAAACUAUUAUUAUUUUAUUUUAUCAAAAGUCAUAUCUAUUAUUUUACCCUAUAGGAAACCCUAAUUGAGACACCCAAGUAAUUCUGCACUAAUCCUAAAAUUUUCAUAGCAAUCAGAAUCAGGAUCAGGGCCCCUAAAACUCAGGGGGGGCAUUUCCCAUUCGAUAUUAUCAUCACAGUUUUACGUAUAAUUCGAAUUUUCACGAAUUGUCGACUCAGCUAGACUACCAAGAGACGUGGUAACCUUAUGUUAAAAGUGUAUUCCCCGCGCCACGCGACAGGUGCACAUGUUCCUGUCGCGACACGCGAGGGGGACGAUUUUCCAGCUAUAAAUAGUAGGCUGUGGGACUUGAUUUCUGGAGUUGGAACGACGGAAAAUUUCGUCUUACACUCCGAGUUAUAGCCGUUUUACUAUAAAACAACCACAAUCACGAAUUCUGCUAUGAUACAGGGUAAUUACUCGAUCGCUAUUACGAUUCAUUUUCCGGGAUCAAUAUAUCCAAAGAAUGUCUAAGUGCCGCCCAUAUUAGGUUAUGCUUUGUCGUUUGAUUAUUAGUCUUAAUACACUUACAAUCAAAGUAGAUGCUAAAUUCUCAGAAGAAUCUGAACCAUGAAGCUUGUUAAUUCAAAUACUGCAUGCUGAUUUGUAAUUACAAUAGAUUGGAGUAAGGAUUGGAUCCGACACUGAAGGACUUCAAGAAGUGGCUUAUUUUCAAAUUAAGAAAUAUU
rnacentral:lncRNA from 1 species